GAUGAAGAACGCAGCGAAAUGCGAUACUUGGUGUGAAUUGCAGAAUCCCGUGAACCAUCGAGUCUUUGAACGCAAGUUGCGCCCGAAGCCAUUAGGCCGAGGGCACGCCUGCCUGGGCGUCACACGUCGUUGCCCCCCCAUCUACUCCUUCGGGAUUGCGGGGGGCGGAUGAUGGCCUCCCGUGCGCCUCGUCGCGCGGUUGGCAUAAAUGCCAAGUCCUCGGCGACGCACGCCACGACAAUCGGUGGUUGCGAAACCUCGGUUGCCCGUCGUGCGCGGUCGUCGCGCAUCGAGGGCUCGAAAAAAUUGCCGGGCUCCGGCUCGGCUUUCAACGCGACCCCAGGUCAGGCGGGGUUACCCGCUGAAUUUAAGCAUAUCAAUAAGCGGAGGA
rnacentral:misc_RNA from 1 species